rnacentral:rRNA from 1 species
UACAGAGACUGCAAGCGUUGUUCGGAUUCAUUGGGCGUAAAGGGUGCGUAGGCGGUGAGGUAAGUUGGAUGUGAAAUCUCAGGGCCUAACCCUGAAAGUGCAUCCAAAACUGCCUUGCUUGAGGACUGGAGGGGAGACUGGAAUUCUCGGUGUAGCGGUGAAAUGCGUAGAUAUCGAGAGGAACACCAGUGGCGAAGGCGGGUCUCUAGCCAGCUCCUGACGCUGAGGCACGAAAGCCAGGGUAGCAAACAGG